AACAAAUUCAAUGAGAUAAGAUGCUUCUUGCAGUAACCCCUGCUUUUUAUUCAUUUUCAACAUUUCAAACUCGAGGGCAUUCAAAAUCAACAUGCCAAUCUUCUAUUAAUGAGGUUACAUCAAAGCUGUACAAGUUUUCAAAUUUCAAGACCUUGGCCACGUCAAAAACAAAUAAUGACAUGAGAAGGUGUGAAUGCUUUGAUCUGUACAAAGAACAUGUUCCUUAUUUGGAAGCCCUAUCCUGGCAAAAAUCCAUAGUAAAAGAGAAGAAAUCUUUGAUUGAUAGAGGUGAAGAUUGCUUUGACACAUUAAUUAUUCUUCAACAUCCUUCUGUUUAUACAUUGGGUACUGCUAGUUCAGAGAAGUUCUUGAAGUUUGAGAGGGAGUACGCUCCUUAUAAUGUUUACAAGACGGAACGUGGUGGGGAGGUUACAUAUCAUGGGCCUGGUCAGCUAGUUAUAUACCCUAUUCUCAAUCUUCAGCAUCACAAGAUGGAUCUCCAUUGGUACCUCAGGUCUCUUGAGGAGGUGGUUAUUAGGGUUCUUUCCAACACCUUCUUUAUCAAGGCUUCUCGACUUGAAGGUUUUACUGGUGUAUGGGUUGGCAAUGAGAAGCUAGCUGCAAUUGGUAUUCGGGUAUCUCGCUGGAUAACAUAUCAUGGCUUAGCACUGAAUGUCACUACAGAUCUUACUCCCUUUCAAUACAUAGUCCCAUGUGGCAUACGAGACCGUCAGGUUGGGAGCAUUGAAGGGCUUUUAGGAGUGUCUGAAUCACCCAAGAGUGGAAUGGAGGGUAAGCUCACGACAAGUGCUUCUCAACUGAUGGAUAUCACUCAUGACUCCUUGCUCAAGGAAUUCUCUGAAGUUUUCCAGCUUACUCUCUGCCAUGCACCUAUCUCUGACUUACCAUUGGAAGGGAGAAACAUGAAGCUUGUUUACUGAAUGAAAUGGAAAGAAAUAAAGGGGACAUUAAAGGUCAUUAUGCCCACGGAUUACGGACAGUGCGACGAAGUAUCCAGUCAAUCAUAGAAUGUCAUGAUUUAUGUUGCUUGCAUGUAGACGUCUAGUGUUCCUUUUCCAUGCCCAUUAUGUGUCCAUAGAUUAGAAGUGGAGGUAUUUUUAUCAUCAAGCAUGGAAAACUAUGAGUCAGCGCAGGUGAAGGAUCUUCGUUGGGAUCUCUUGACUUCAUGAAGGAAGACUAUAUGCAGCUCUCAGUCCUUCGGCUAGACUGAUGCUUUAUCUGAUUUGUGCAUUUUCCUUGGCUUUGCUUUUUAUAAUGCUCUUGGGCAGGGUUGAGUAUGGAAAGAAGUGCUUUUCUUGUUUGGGUUUUGGUGCUAGGUGGGCUACGUCUUCUCCUGCAAUUCAAUUUCCUUUUGAUAAUGGCCAAUUAAUAAAAUUCUUAGGUGGCCGCCCCUCCUCUUCGAGUAAAUUUUGGGGAUAAAAAAAAAAAGAAGCAUCGACUCAUUUGUCUCUCUCUAGACUACAAUGCUUGUUGCUAGGGCCUGGCCAUUGCACUUAAUAGCAUUGACUCAUUUGCUUGCGGAGGCCUUGAUUGGUCCUCCUCCCUUCUCAUGUGGUGAAUGGUGAUAUUCUGCUCUUAGCUAUGGGCCAUAUUGUGGCAUCAUUCUCUCUGCUUCUAAU